UACGUAGGUGGCAAGCGUUGUCCGGAUUUAUUGGGCGUAAAGCGAGCGCAGGCGGUUUCUUAAGUCUGAUGUGAAAGCCUUCGGCUUAACCGGAGAAGUGCAUCGGAAACUGGGAGACUUGAGUGCAGAAGAGGACAGUGGAACUCCAUGUGUAGCGGUGAAAUGCGUAGAUAUAUGGAAGAACACCAGUGGCGAAGGCGGCUGUCUGGUCUGUAACUGACGCUGAGGCUCGAAAGCAUGGGUAGCGAACAGG
rnacentral:ncRNA from 2 species